rnacentral:rRNA from 1 species
GUCUUUUUGAAGGUAUUUAAAGUCGGGCCUGCCCACUGAAAUAUUUGAAGGGCCGCGGUAUUCUGACCGUGCAAAGGUAGCAUAAUCAUUAGUCUUUUAAUUGAAGGCUGGUAUGAAUGGUUUGACGAAGUAUAGACUGUCUCUGUAUAAAAAUAUAAAAUUUAACUUUUGAGUCAAAAGGCUUAAAUUUAAAUAGAGGACGAGAAGACCCUAUAGAGUUUUAUAUAAUUUGCAAUCAAAUUUUAAUAGUUGUAGCAAUUUCUAAUUGUAAAUUAUAUUUGGUUGGGGUGACCUAAAGAUAAAACGAACUCUUUGUUUAAUAAACAUUAAUUUAUGAUUUUAUGAUCCACUUAGUAGUGAUUAAAAGAUAAAAUUACCUUAGGGAUAACAGCGUAAUUUUUUUUGAGAGUUCAUAUCGACAAAAAAGUUUGCGACCUCGAUGUUGGACUAAGAAAAUGAUUUGAUGUAGCAGUUAAAUUAAUAAGUCUGUUCGACUUUUAAAUUCUUACGUGAUCUGAGUUCA